rnacentral:rRNA from 1 species
UAACCUGCCCAAGAGAUCGGGAUAACACCUGGAAACAGAUGCUAGUACCGGAUAACAACAGAUGAUGCCUAUCAACUGUUUAAAAGAUGGUUCUGCUAUCACUCUUGGAUGGACCUGCGGUGCAUUAGCUAGUUGGUAGGGUAACGGCCUACCAAGGCGAUGAUGCAUAGCCGAGUUGAGAGACUGAUCGGCCACAUUGGGACUGAGACACGGCCCAAACUCCUACGGGAGGCAGCAGCU